AGGGAGCACAGCAACGGGAGGAGCGUGCGGUUCAAUUGGAUUCAACGCCGGAAACUCACCGGGAGCGACGAUUACAUGAAGGUCAGGCCGAUGACUUUACCUGAUUUUUCGAGAGGUGGUGCAUGGCCGUCGUCAGUUCGUACCGUAAGGCGUUCUGUUAAGUCAGAUAACGAGCGAGACCCACGUCCACAGUUGCCAGCAUACCCUCCGGGGUGAUGGGUACACUGUGGAGACCGCCGCUGCUAAAGCGGAGGAAGGAAUGGGCAACGGUAGGUCAGUAUGCCCCGAAUCUCCCGGGCUACACGCGGGCUACAAUGGUUGGUACAAUGGGCAUCUACCCCGAAAGGGGAAGGAAAUCUCUUAAAGCCAAUCGUAGUUCGGAUUGAGGGCUGCAACUCGCCCUCAUGAAGCUGGAAUCCGUAGUAAUCGCGUUUCAACAGAACGCGGUGAAUACGUCCCUGCUCCUU
rnacentral:rRNA from 1 species